GAAAAGCAGACAGGACUGGAUAAAAUCCUGCCACUUUGCUACACUGAUGUAGAAUGCUUAUGGGUUGCGCUCACAAUUUAAAUUUAAAUGAAGCUGAGGCCUCACCCUUGUUGCGACAGAUCUUUUCUGACAAGGUGCCCUGUGUUCACAGAAGCAUGACGAGUUUCCUGGGGAAGUGCUCUGAUAAGAAGAGGCUUUGAUACCUGCCUGAUUGAAUUCACUGCAUACAGGGAAGGGAGAGAAAACUGCUCAUGGUUCCAGCAGCACUCUCAGAGGAGCUCAGUUCCCAACUCCCCAAGUGCUUUGUAUUUGACAGCAGUUUUACCAGUGCCCGUGUGCUGAUUGUGUCCUCAGCUGCAGUUUCAGGUGGGUUUGCACACUAAAGCUCCUCUGCAUUGCCAGACUGGCAGGAUGGGCACUCGGUGUCACUCUGAUCUGAUGUCUCUGAACAUUCUUCUCCUCUGCCAUCCAUUGCUGAGGAUCGUUGUUGCAGCUGUUCCUGGAAAAGCCAGGGGAUCUUACUUUCUUUGGGAAGGGGAGGCCAGUUUUCCCUUGUGCUGCGCAGGGCCACACUCUGUCCUUCUGCUCCUGCCUGGGGCCUUGCUGGGGCUCUGUGGGUGCCAAGGAGGUGCAGCAGUGUGCCAGUGCUGUGAGCAGAUCACUCGGCUGUUCAUCUGUUUUACAUCCACUUGUACUUUGCUCGAGGUGUCAAAUGCGGGGAAUAAAAGUGAUAAAUUACCAAGAGGAAGAUUUAUAGGUCUUGUAAUGAGACUGAUUUGUGGAUGCCAAGUGGAUACAGGUUAUGUCCUUCGCUCCAAGAUACCAAAUACACAUCAGUGUCUUAUUUUGUAUGUUAUAAAAUCCUCUUUUAGCCUCUGUGUUCUGGGGUGACUUUGUGAUGUUGAAUUGUAUCCCCAUUUGUCUGUUCAGCCCAGAAAUAAGUUUUGUACCUUUAAGGUUGGAUUUGAGAGUGAUGGGGAGGAAGGAGAAGCAGUGGAAUGUCUGAGGUGGUUGUUUUCAGAACAUAGAGAUAGUUCCAUCCCUUCAUCUCCGGGACUGUAUUGCUGUGGUGGGCAGUGGGAGAGAGCUCUGCUUUGCUUUUAGUUAGUUUUUGACUAACUGAAGCAGAGAAGUUCCCCAGACAGUUUUGUCCUUUUUCUCCCCUGGAAUUAUUUGAACCUGCUCUGUACUGGGGACCCAGGGGCAGCACCAGCAGCUUGUAUCUGUGGCCCAGUGGGGCCUGGCAUGGUCAGCGGCAUUUUCCAGCACUGGAGGGACUGAUAACAGACUGAGCCGAGCUACCAACCACAGGAGAGAGACUUUCUGAAUUUGUCAUCUCUCCAGAGCAGCAAGAGGUAUUGUUGUUCGGUAUUGUUCAUUUUUUUGGGCUGGGCCGUGCUUUGCCUGUUGAAUAAACAGGUUUUUUCCACUCGUCUAUGAGGACAUUUCUUCUGGAACUGAUUGGGGGAGGGGCCUCUUGGGUUUUUUUCCUGAGGGUGGGGGCCCCUUUGGAGUUUUUCUCCCAAAUUUUCCCUGAACCAGGACACUAAGGAAAUUCCAUAAAUUGAGCCCUCUUCAAGAAAGGCAAGAGAAACUGAGCUGUACAAUCCUCCUCCCUCCGGUGUCAUUAGCAAUGAGUUGGAAAGCAGUUUUGUCCCUGGCCUCCACCAAUCUGAGCCAACUUGGCCAUUACAGAAAGGCAUCACCCUUGGAGCCCUGACCUUUCCAUCAGCUCCCCAUCAACUUCUGAGUGCUUGAGCAGUUUGUGUGGCAAACGCACACCUCAGGACUUGCCAUUAAGCACAGCUUACAGAAGUAGUGACAGCAGUAGAAUAUCCAGGAAGAAGUGCAGGGAAUGGGGCUUUGUCUGCUUAAGACCCUGUUUUCUUUCCAGUACAGGUUUGUCUCUGCGUCCUCUUUAAAGCUCUGCUCAAGGCAUUCUGUUUCCAUAGGAAAUUCUUGUCCCACUGUGCAGCAACCUCCCAAGGGAAAGAAAAUUCCAGAUUUCAGCCUUUCCUCAAAUUACUGUUUCAUUCUGUGCACACACAUCUUCCUGUGUUUUUUCUGCUCCUUACUGUCUAGCAAGAGUAAAACGGAUGAAAUUAUUUCUGGUUUCAUCCUUGGAAGCUGGAGCUUGUGGGUUUUCUUUUAACUAUGGAAUGUGAUUCAUUCUGUUCUUGAGCCACAGUUUUCUAGGCUAAAAAAGUUGUCAGGCUCCCUUUACCUAGAGUGUGGCAUGCCCACCUGAGUGCAAAUGGGAGCAUGGAGAAUUAUCUUGGUUUUUAGAGGUGUUGCUUCACUCUUUACCUUUUCUCCCACUACCUGCUGACUCCCCAAUAAAGUAAAUAUUUAUGAAA